rnacentral:rRNA from 1 species
GAGAGUUUGAUCCUGGCUCAGGAUGAACGCUGGCGGCGUGCUUAACACAUGCAAGUCGAGCGAUGAAGUUCCUUCGGGAACGGAUUAGCGGCGGACGGGUGAGUAACACGUGGGCAACCUGCCUGUAAGUGGGGGAUAGCCCUCCGAAAGGAGGAGUAAUACCGCAUAAGAUAUUUUGAUCGCAUGGUCGAAAUAUUAAAGGAGUAAUCCGCUUACAGAUGGGCCCGCGGCGCAUUAGCUAGUUGGUGAGGUAACGGCUCACCAAGGCAACGAUGCGUAGCCGACCUGAGAGGGUGAUCGGCCACAUUGGGACUGAGACACGGCCCAGACUCCUACGGGAGGCAGCAGUGGGGAAUAUUGCGCAAUGGGGGAAACCCUGACGCAGCAACGCCGCGUGAGUGAUGAAGGUCUUCGGAUUGUAAAGCUCUGUCUUAUGGGAAGAUAAUGACGGUACCAUAGGAGGAAGCCACGGCUAACUACGUGCCAGCAGCCGCGGUAAUACGUAGGUGGCAAGCGUUGUCCGGAUUUACUGGGCGUAAAGCAUGCGUAGGCGGAUGUUUAAGUGAUGUGUGAAAUACCCGGGCUCAACUUGGGUGCUGCAUGUCAAACUGGACAUCUAGAGUGCAGGAGAGGAGAGCGGAAUUCCUAGUGUAGCGGUGAAAUGCGUAGAGAUUAGGAAGAACACCAGUGGCGAAGGCGGCUCUCUGGACUGUAACUGACGCUGAGGCAUGAAAGCGUGGGGAGCAAACAGGAUUAGAUACCCUGGUAGUCCACGCCGUAAACGAUGGGUACUAGGUGUCGGGGUCGAACCUCGGUGCCGCAGUUAACACAUUAAGUAUUCCGCCUGGGAAGUACGGUCGCAAGAUUAAAACUCAAAGGAAUUGACGGGGACCCGCACAAGCAGCGACGAUGUGGUUUAAUUCGAAGCAACGCGAAGAACCUUACCUAGACUUGACAUCUCCUGAAUUAGUCCGUAAUGGAUGAAGUCCUUCGGGGACAGGAUGACAGGUGGUGCAUGGUUGUCGUCAGCUCGUGUCGUGAGAUGUUGGGUUAAGUCCCGCAACGAGCGCAACCCUUAUCAUUAGUUGCUAACAUUUAGUUGAGCACUCUAGUGAGACUGCCCGGGUUAACCGGGAGGAAGGUGGGGAUGACGUCAAAUCAUCAUGCCCCUUAUGUCUAGGGCUACACACGUGCUACAAUGGUAGGGACAAAAAGAUGCUAUACCGCAAGGUGGAGCUAAACUCAAAACCCUAUCCCAGUUCGGAUUGUAGGCUGAAACUCGCCUACAUGAAGCCGGAGUUGCUAGUAAUCGCGAAUCAGAAUGUCGCGGUGAAUACGUUCCCGGGUCUUGUACACACCGCCCGUCACACCAUGAGAGUCGGCAACACCCGAAGCCCGUGAGGUAACCUUUUGGAACCAGCGGUCGAAGGUGGGGUUGAUGAUUGGGGUGAAGUCGUAACAAGGUAGCCGUAGGAGAACCUGCGGNUGGAUCACCUCCUU